rnacentral:rRNA from 1 species
GAUGAACGCUGGCGGCGUGCCUAAUACAUGCAAGUCGAGCGAACGGACGAGAAGCUUGCUUCUCUGAUGUUAGCGGCGGACGGGUGAGUAACACGUGGAUAACCUACCUAUAAGACUGGGAUAACUUCGGGAAACCGUAGCUAAUACCGGAUAAUAUUUUGAACCGCAUGGUUCAAAAGUGAAAGACGGUCUUGCUGUCACUUAUAGAUGGAUCCGCGCUGCAUUAGCUAGUUGGUAAGGUAACGGCUUACCAAGGCAACGAUGCAUAGCCGACCUGAGAGGGAGAUCGGCCACACUGGAACUGAGACACGGUCCAGACUCCUACGGGAGGCAGCAGUAGGGAAUCUUCCGCAAUGGGCGAAAGCCUGACGGAGCAACGCCGCGUGAGUGAUGAAGGUCUUCGGAUCGUAAAACUCUGUUAUUAGGGAAGAACAUAUGUGUAAGUAACUGUGCACAUCUUGACGGUACCUAAUCAGAAAGCCACGGCUAACUACGUG